AUACGUAGGUGGCGAGCGUUGUCCGGAAUUACUGGGCGUAAAGGGUGCGUAGGCGGAUAUUUAAGUCAGAUGUGAAAUUCCCGGGCUCAACCUGGGAAGUGCAUUUGAAACUGGGUAUCUAGAGUGCAGGAGAGGGAAGCGGAAUUCCUAGUGUAGCGGUAGAAAUGCGUAGAUAUUAGGAAGAACACCAGUGGCGAAGGCGGCUUCCUGGACUGUAACUGACGCUGAGGCAACGAAAGCGUGGGGAGC
rnacentral:rRNA from 1 species